rnacentral:rRNA from 1 species
UGAGACGUGAUGCGUAGCCGUUUGAGGCGAAGUAGAGUGAUCCUAUGCUGCCGAGAAAAGCCUCUAGUGAGUGCAUGCACGGCCCGUACCCCAAACCAACACAGGUGGUCAGGUAGAGAAUACCAAGGCGAUCGGGUGAACUGUGGUUAAGGAACUCGGCAAAAUGCCCCCGUAACUUCGGGAGAAGGGGGGCCAAACAUCCUGAAGCUCUUUUCGAGCUAGGGGUGGGUGGCCGCAGAGACCAGCGGAAAGCGACUGUUUACUAAAAACACAGGUCCAUGCGAAGUCGCAAGACGAUGUAUAUGGACUGACGCCUGCCCGGUGCUGGAACGUUAAGAGGACCGGUUAGCCAGUAAUGGCGAAGCUGAGAAUUUAAGCGCCAGUAAACGGCGGUGGUAACUAUAACCAUCCUAAGGUAGCGAAAUUCCUUGUCGGGUAAGUUCCGACCUGCACGAAUGGCGUAACGACUUUCCGGCUGUCUCAACCACAGGCCCGGCGAAAUUGCACUACGAGUAAAGAUGCUCGUUACGCGCGGCAGGACGGAAAGACCCCGGGACCUUUACUAUAGUUUGGUAUUGGUUUUCGGUUCGGCUUGUGUAGGAUAGGUGGGAGACUGUGAAGUGGUCACGCUAGUGGCUGUGGAGUCGUUGUUGAAAUACCACUCUGGUCGAAUUGGGAAUCUGAACCUCGGGCCAUGAUCUGGUUCAGGGACAGUGCCUGAUGGGUAGUUUAACUGGGGCGGUUGCCUCCUAAAGAGUAACGGAGGCGCCCAAAGGUUCCCUCAGCCUGGUUGGCAAUCAGGUGUUGAGUGCAAGUGCACAAGGGAGCUUGACUGUGAGACAGACAUGUCGAGCAGGGACGAAAGUCGGGACUAGUGAUCCGGCACCUCCUGGUGGAAGGGGUGUCGCUCAACGGAUAAAAGGUACCCCGGGGAUAACAGGCUGAUCUUGCCCAAGAGUCCAUAUCGACGGCAUGGUUUGGCACCUCGAUGUCGGCUCGUCGCAUCCUGGGGCCGGAGUAGGUCCCAAGGGUUGGGCUGUUCGCCCAUUAAAGCGGCACGCGAGCUGGGUUUAGAACGUCGUGAGACAGUUCGGUCCCUAUCCGCCGCGCGCGUAGGAUACUUGAGGAAGGCUGUCCCUAGUACGAGAGGACCGGGACGGACGAACCUCUGGUGUGCCAGUUGUUCUGCCAAGGGCAUGGCUGGUUGGCCACGUUCGGAAGGGAUAACCGCUGAAGGCAUCUAAGCGGGAAGCCUGUUCCAAGAUGAGGUAUCCCACCCCUUUGUGGGUUAAGGCCCCCAACAGACCAUUGGGUUGAUAGGCCAGAAAUGGAAGCACAGUAAUGUGUUGUCGAGUUGACUGGUACUAAUAGGCCGAGGACUUGCCUA